CAACAUAAAAGGUGAUUAAAAAUAGUGGCAUUAAUAAGUCUUUUUUUAGGCUUUUCAGGUAUGAAGCUCACAGCUGUAUGAAGAAAUUAAACCUUGUCAGUUUAGUAAAACUCCAUGAUCAUCACUGGUUAAUUUAUCAAAAACAGUAGGAAUGGAACACUACAUAGCAAUGCUAAAUGCAUCACUUAGUUCAGCCUCGCUGUAAUCUCUGAAGUCACGAAUUUGUGUUUAGCUGGCAUCAUAUGUUCUAUGGUGUAGAAGCAAAUGAUUAUAUGAAAGCAAUGCAAAAAUCAAUUUAGAACUGUUUUGAUGAACCAUUGGAGAAAACAGGCUCCAUGUUAAGACAGUUGUAACAGAAUCCACUGGUUUUGAGCAAAAGCACCUGCAAAAUUUGUUAGUGUGAAAUUAAUUACAUACAUAAAUGUCAGUGGUGGUGUCACAGGUUUUUAAGUACCAGGUCAGCUAUUCAGUGAAGGAGGGACACAUCCAUGAUCUGACCAGAUGCUGUUUAUUCAUGGUGCCUCAUGAACAAGCAGCAAGAAGAGCUCAGAUCUUUAGUUUAGUACUCUUACCCCAGAGCAAGCCAUGAAUGUACCUCAGAACAUGCCCAAGGAGCCAUGAGAAAAUGACACUUUUCUCCUGCCCUUGCUCUGAUAAGCCAACAGAAGUGCCUGUCCUCUUUUUUCUUGUACUUCAUCCAAGGAUUCAGUUCACUUCCAACCUUCUUUCCUCAUAUAAUUUAUUGAUGUCAGUGGCUGUAAAAUUGCUAACUACUUUAAGCUUCUACAAUUUUCAAAAAGACUACAGUCCUGUGUGCAAGAUUAUUCCCUUAUGUACGUCCUCUGGAACUUAAAUUGUGCUAGACCUAGUUUAGAAAGAAAAAUGGGCCAAAGAACUGAUAAAACUACAGAGAGUUUAGGUUGUCAAAUUCUUUAUAGUCCAGGGACAAACACUGUUAGAGAACUUGGAGCAACAAGGUGCCGAGACAGAUUUAAGCCUUUCUAAGCAAACUUGGUCCUGAUUUUCCACAUAUGCAACAGUUGGGUUAACUUUGAAUUCACCAGCUCCAAUUCCUCCCACUCUCCUUCUUUUUCCUUGAAGUUUCUUAAGUUUUAUACCACUCUGCUCUGUAUCACACUUGAAUCUUAACCCAGCAUUGUCUAUUUCCUUCACAUUUCUCAAACUCUUUUAAAUGAGUCAUUCUGAAACAUUUUGCUGUGCUUCCUUGUCUUGCAAAGGUUGAAUGUAUUUUUUCCUACCUUUUGAAGCUUCAGUGUAAUGUGAAGCACCAGGGGAGCCCUUCCAGCUUUUAUUUUCUCUACAGGAGUCUGUGCUUAGUUUACUGUCUUUGCCGGAGACCACGUGAGCAGCAGAGUUCACAAUUGACGUGAGAGGUUCGAUUGUGCUCCCACUCUCAGCACAGGCAUGAAUGGAAUGAGUAUUCCAAUGGACCAAUGGACAGCUGAGGGAGCAGGGAACCAUGUCAGAACAGGUGCAGAGGGUGGAGGUAGACUGCAAGCCCGUGUUCAGAACAGCUUCCUGUGACCCUCUCUCCUCAAGCUGACCCAGGGAACAAAUGAGGAGCCCUAACCCAGUCUCUGCUAUAAUACCAUUGAAACCAAAUCAUCUCUAAGAGGAGUUUACACAGUUCCUUUUUAAGAAGGCAGCAAACAUGACACCAGUGCACUAUAACAAUCAUACUGUGAGGGUGUUAACCCUUUGGUGCUCUGAAAUGUGUCCAAAGCAGGGCCCCAUUCCCUGCUGUCCCCUCACACUCAGCUGCUCAGGGUCCAGCGCUUUCAUCCUCUCGCCGCUCAUAAGAGCAAGCACCCCUGAGGAUGCUGCCUGCAAUUUGAACUGUAGCAUUGAAGGAAAAGUAUCUCACUCCACUGCACAAAAACAGCAAGAAAGAGAGGAUUCCUGGCACAGCAGGAAAGCCAAGAUGUCCCUGGAGUAAUUCCAAAGUCUUGCAGGCCGAUGUAUUUUUAUAGCAUCACAGAAACAUGAGAUCUUAUUUUUCAA